rnacentral:rRNA from 1 species
GACGAACGCUGGCGGCGUGCUUAACACAUGCAAGUCGAACGGAAAGGCCCUGCUUUUGUGGGGUGCUCGAGUGGCGAACGGGUGAGUAGCACGUGAGUAACCUGCCCUUGACUUUGGGAUAACUUCAGGAAACUGGGGCUAAUACCGGAUAGGAGCUCCUGCUGCGUGGUGGGGGUUGGAAAGUUUCGGCGGUUGGGGCUGGACUCGCGGCUUAUCAGCUUGUUGGUGGGGUAGUGGCUUACCAAGGCUUUGACGGGUAGCCGGCCUGAGAGGGUGACCGGCCACAUUGGGACUGAGAUACGGCGCAGACGCCUACGGGAGGCAGCAGUGGAGAAUAUUGCACAAUGGGCGGAAGCCUGAUGCAGCAACGCCGCGUGCGGGAUGACGGCCUUCGGGUUGUAAACCGCUUUCGCCUGUGACGAAGCGUGAGUGACGGUAAUGGGUAAAGAAGCACCGGCUAACUACGUG